rnacentral:rRNA from 1 species
AUGGCAAGCCGAGCUCUCACCACCUUCCAGCUCACGGCCACCCUCCUCGUGGCGCUACUGGCAACGUGCCAUGCCGGCGGCAUCGCCGUGUACUGGGGCCAGAACGACGGCGAGGCAUCACUGGCCGAGACGUGCGCGUCUGGAAACUACGAGUUUGUCAUCCUGGCUUUCCUCCCAAAGUUUGGCAAGGGCCAGACGCCACAACUAGACCUCGGCAGCCACUGCGACGCCUCGUCGGGCGGCUGCAAAAGCCAGAGCAAAGAAAUCCAGUCAUGCCAGCGCGGCGGUGUCAAGGUCCUCCUCUCCAUCGGCGGCGGAGACGGCAGCUACGGUCUCUCAUCACCCGGUGAUGCACGACAAGUUGCCAUGUACCUCUGGAACAACUACCUGGGCGGCACGUCAUCAUUCCGCCCUCUCGGCGACGCCAUACUCGACGGCAUCGACUUCGACAUCGAGCUCGGCGGUGCCAAAUUCUGGAAUGAUCUCGCCACGGACCUGAAGAACUUAGAAAAGAACGGUGGCAAGACCGUGUUGCUAAGCGCCGCACCGCAGUGCCCCUUCCCGGAUGAAUGGGACGGCAACGCGAUCAACACGGGGCUGUUCGACUUCGUUUGGGUGCAGUUCUACAACAAUCCAGAGUGCCAGUUUAGUGCGGGGCGUGGAGCGUUCAUGGACGCGUGGAAAAGAUGGGAGUCGGUGCCGGCAGGAAAGAUCUUCCUAGGACUGCCAGCCUCCAAGGACGCUGCAGGCACCGGGUUCGUGCCCGCCGGGGAGCUCACUUCACGCGUGCUUCCGCUCAUCAAGGGCUCACCCAAGUACGGCGGCGUCAUGCUGUGGUCAAAGUUCUAUGAUGAUCGCACUGGAUAUAGCUCCGCCAUCAAGAGCUAUGUGUGA